UCUUGCUGGACAAUGAGAAUGGCGUUUCUCGUGACUCUAUACUUUUCGCGUUAUCUGUCUGGGACUUGCGAGCAAGUGAUCUCUCCUGGAUAUCACUGGCCACUGACAGUGGAAGUUUGAUGGCUUAUUCCUGCAGCUGUGUAGCUGGUAAAGGCUUCUGCAACCAUGUAGUAGCCCUCCUUUACCAGACUGCACACUAUUUGCAGCUCAGUUUGCCGACUGUUCCACCACCCCUGGCCUGCACAAGUGAUUUACAACGCUGGCAUAGACCGAGAACACAGGGAAUCCUGAACCUGUGAAUGAUGUGAUGGUGCAAAAACCAACGACGGUGGGCAAGAGUGGUCUUAGCUCCACAUUGUACCAGGCAUAUUCAGGACCAUUUCCUGACCCUGACAUGAUGGCAUCUGGAGCCAAGCUACGCCAGGAGCAACCCCAGCCUCUCAUUGCUCUCGUAUUAGAUGGCAUGUCUGAGAUAGAGCUGACUCCAUCUAAAUUUGGGCCUGUCCCACAAGGAUCCCUGCUGUCAUAUCAUUGCCCACCUGAAAAGUCCAGUGACCUUAUCCUGCACCACUUGGCUCCUGAAUUCCCGGGUCUUCCUUUUAUGCAGCAUACUUUUUCCAAGUUGCACUUUGUUCCAACGUUGCAUCAGCUCAUGCACCUCCAGUCACUCCAAGUGUCACCACAAAUGGCCAGUGAA